AUGAACGCUGGCGGCGUGCCUAAUACAUGCAAGUCGAGCGAACAGACGAGGAGCUUGCUCCUCUGACGUUAGCGGCGGACGGGUGAGUAACACGUGGAUAACCUACCUAUAAGACUGGGAUAACUUCGGGAAACCGGAGCUAAUACCGGAUAAUAUAUUGAACCGCAUGGUUCAAUAGUGAAAGACGGUUUUGCUGUCACUUAUAGAUGGAUCCGCGCCGCAUUAGCUAGUUGGUAAGGUAACGGCUUACCAAGGCAACGAUGCGUAGCCGACCUGAGAGGAGGAUCGGCAACACUGGAAGGGAGAAAAGGUCAAGACUCCGAGGGUGGGCAGCAGUAGGGAUUCUUCCGAAAUGGGCGAAAGCCAAACGGAGCAACGCCGCGGGAGUGAUAAAGGUCUUCGGAUCGAAAAGCUCUGUUAUUAGGGAAGAACAAAUGGGUAAGUAACUAUGCACGUCUUGACGGUACCUAAUCAGAAGACCACGGCUAACUGCGAG
rnacentral:rRNA from 1 species